GCCCACCCCAAGGAGGAAAUAUACCAGGAAGGGCUGAAUUUCUUACAAGUAAUAGAAACUGACAUGAGUUUGCGAUGCUGGUCCCCAUUUCCCACCCCAGCUCUCCAUUGGAUAGUUGCUUCAUUUCUCUUGCCAAAGAUAAAGCUGGAUACUGGUUAACGUGGUGAGGAAAGACUUUAUUUGGUCAUAACCAUUGCAAUGAGGAGGAGGUUUCAGUGUGAGCUGAACUCAACUUUGGUUUGUAGAGAGAUGACUGGGGGUUUUGAAAGAAUGGGGGAGCUAGAGAAGAGACUGAGUUUGCUCAUUGGUUAUUAUCAGAUAGAGAAGCAGACUUCUCACAUCUUUAUGACAGAAGGUGGUGCAAGUUAAAGGUUGAAGGGCAUGUCCCAGAAAGUGCAUUUACAGGGAGCAGCCCAAGAAAUAACUACCCACCAAGCAUGGAACUGCCCAAGGGUGUGAAGUUGGGCAGAGGGCAGGAGGCUGGACACGUCACAGAAUCCAGAACUCAGAGGGCUUUGUAUUCCUCAUUAAGAAUUUUUACCCACCUUCUUCCACUCAAGUGGGGGAGUUGACAUAAGAAAAGCCAAAUAGGGCAGAAUUAUAGAAAGGGCUCUAAGUUCAGUGCCCCCACCCAAAUCCAACCUUUUUGCGUGAAGCCCUUGCUUUAAGCCCUACUUCUGGAUUGCAUCUUCCCCAUCAAAACUUACCUGAGUUCUGUGUUCCAUCCCCUUGACCUUUCUGUUUCCUUGGCAAGCCCUAGCUGACUGGGUAAACACCUAAGACAUUGGUGUGUUAAUUACACAUACAAACUUUGGCAUGCAUUUAUCUCAAAAUGCCUUUUCUAGAAGGAUAGAUUCUAAUCGUUGAGAAUUGUGAGCCCUCUGGGGACAAAGCUUCUAGAGGGGCUUUGGGAACCUCUAAUAUUCCAUUGGUUAGGCUGUCCAUUGGUCCUUCAUUCUGAAGAUGUGUCCUUUAUCUCUGUCCCCUGGUCUUCUCUGGGAGCCCCAGCCACAGGCCAUGUGAUCACAUUACCACCAGGUGGCAGUGGCACCACAUUCCUAAGUCCUCAGGCCACCACUCAGCCCAGUGGGUUUACAGGAUGUAAAUAAAAGGAAUAGGGGCGUAAAGCAUGGAGCUCCUGCUUUGGAACCACCAAGGUAAGAUGGGAACUACUGUUUUGCUACUGAGAGACUCCAGGUCUUGGGGAAGGGCCUGGGUUUGUGCCUCAGUUUCCUUACUCAGAGUCAGAACAAAUGUUCUGUGUUGAGAAGAUAAUAAAAUCAGGAGAAAUAUGAAGAUAGAUAGAUAUUUCUUGAUCAAGCCACUUGAAAGGCUUGUUGAUUUUCCAGAGUUCCUGAACCGUGGACCUAAGACUCCACUGGGAGAGUCUUCCAUAAGACAGCAGCAUCUUUUACAUCUGGGUGAAACAGCUCCUACCACCUACACAUUCCUCGUACUCCAGGUCUCCCUCACAUCACAGGGCCUGUGGCAGUCCUACUCUGGACUUCCUCAGCCCAAGCCUCCCUGUGGCCAUCAUGCAGAAGAACUCCUACCAUGGCUUCCCAGGCUGGAGCUUCAGCUGGUGAUCUUGCCAGGCCCUUGAGGUCCAGUAUCUCAAAUCUGGAGAAGACCAGAUGUCUCUCAGCAGGUGAAUAGAUGAGCACAUUGUGACUUCAUCAUGGGGAGCACCAUACAGCCCUGUUACACAUCACAGGAAGGAAUCUCAAAUGCAAGGCUGAGUGAAAUAGCCCAGACACAAAAGGUUCAUGCUCUGUGAUUCUGGUUUACAUGAAGUUUGAGAAAAAUGUGAAACUAACCUGCGGUGGUAGGAAUCAGAAUGGUGGUUGCUUCAAAGUGGGGGUGCAAGGGAUGAGGACAAUUCCUGAGAACACUUCUGUUCCUCAGCCUCCAGCCUCAUGAGCUCUUCGCAGACUCCUUGAGAAGGCACUCACGCUACUUUGUUGGCUCCAUCCACAGCAGGGCUGAGGGGAGGGACUUGAGGAAAGGAAAAUCUAGUAGAAGUUGAUAGUUCUGGGAAAUUUGACAUUUCAGAGCUAAUGUAACAGGGACUGCUCAAUAGUCAUUUUCUUCUUUCAUUCCUAAUUGCAGCUGGGCAUGUUGUCAACUAGCCAAAAAAUUGGUUGCUCCAACCCCUCCUGCAGCAAGAUGAGGCCAUGUAUCUAAGAGGUGGUAUGUGUGACUUCCUGCAAGAGUUUAGUUGGCAGCAGGAGGUUGGGGAGCCCACUCUUUUCCCUCUUUCUUCCUGAUUGGAACACAGAUGUGAUGACUGGGGCCCCUGCAGCUAUCUUGGACUACAAGUUUGAAACCACCUAGUGGGGCAGAGGGGAGGCUGGGAGGAACUGGCCAGACCAGUCUUGGCCUGUCUACUUCGGGACUUAUGUCUCAGUCACUGCUAAUUGCGUUUCUCCAUAACUUGUUGUUACACCCAAGCCCAAAUGAUACACGUUGUAGAGGCCAUUGAGAGGAGAUUGAGAGUGUGGGCUCUGGGGACACCUGGGUGGCUCAGCGGCUGAGCAUCUGCCUUUGGCUCAGGACAUGAUCCCAGACUCCCGGGAUCGAGUCCCACAUCGGGCUUCCUGCAUGGAACCUGCUUCUCCC